rnacentral:pre_miRNA from 1 species
CUACUACUCCCUCUGUUCGAAAAUACUUGUCAUUGAAAUGGAUGUAUCUAGAUGUAUUUUAGUUCUAGACACAUCCAUUUUGAUGACAAGUAAUUCCGGACGGAGGGAGUAUUAU